GCAAGUAAAUUGGACUCAAGCACUGAGCACCCCAUCUCUCGAAUCCCAACGUGACCCCCCCUCUGUUAAUUUGGCCCCAAAUACCCAAAGGGAAAAGAAGAAAGGAAGGGAAAGGUGCCUUUUACAUAUUCAAUGGGGCACUCUACAGGAUGAAGUCAUCUUGAAAAGGAUAAUUAGACCUCCAAUGGAUUUUCAUUUUAUUUCAUUUUCUUGCCUGCAGUUGACAAGCAGGGAGAUUGUUACUUCCACUGCCGCCAACAGCAAAGCUGCCCGUUUUCUUCUAUUUCUAUAGCGAACUCCUGAAAGAGAGAAGCCUGCUGGUGUAAACUGCUUUGAUGGGAGGAAGCAUCUAAAAUGCAUUUUAAUUUCAAUUUGUGUGAAGCUUUUGUAUCAAAUUACAGAUCUGGGGCACGACGCGGCUCAGUGAAGAAUCCCAUUUUCCAUCAGUUUGGAUGUGUUCGUUAUGUCAUCAAGGGGUAAAAUAAUUAAGGCUGAAAUCCUAUCUCCAUUGGAGACUGUCUGCUGGUGUCUCAUAUCCCAUGUUGAUCAGGUCAGGUGACAGACCAAAAAUUACUAUUCAGAGACCAGCACUGCUCCCUUGGAGGCCCCAGACCAGAAUUCUCCAAGAGCAUUCCCUCCAUAAGUUGUGCAUGUCCAAAUUGCUAUUUCAGUUUCUGCUUCUAGGCAACCCAACUGUAUUGGUUCCUAUCACUGCUGGAACAAAUUACUACAAAUUUAGUAGCUUAAAUGAUGCAAAUUUAUCUUACAUUUCUAGAAGUCAGAAGUCUGACCCAGGUCUCAUUGGGGUAAAUCAAGUUCUCAGCAGGGCUGCAUUCCUGCUUGAAACUCCAGGGGGCAAUCCAUUCCUUGCCUUUUUCAACUCUAAAAGCAGCCUGCAUUCCGUGGCUCUUGGCCUCACAUCACUCUGACCUCUGCCUUUGUCAUCACAUAGCCUACUCUGACCCUCCUCCAGAGACCAGCACUGCCCUCUUGGAGGCCGCGAACCAGCUAAAACUCACCAGCUUGUGAUUACAUUGGACUCAUCUAAAUAAUACAAGAUAACAUCCCCAUUUCAAGAUCCUUCACUUAAUAACAUCUGCAAAGUCCCCUUUGACAUGUAAGGUAACAUACUCACUGGUUCCAGAGAUUAGGAUGUGAAUGACUUCGGGGCAUUGUUCUGCCUUCUGCAUGACCUAAGAGAGUGGUCCUAAGAACCAGACUCAAAGGAAAGGACUCUGGAGUUAGAUCACUGAUUGGCUGCCUGGUAAUGAGGAGCCCAUCACUAGUGGGACAUGGAAUACCAUCAUUCUGGGCAUGUGGGCAUAGUGUGCUUGCUGAGACCGUCACCCAUGGAGACCUGAGACCAGGCACAGGCUCAAGAGGAUGCACAGGCUGUGCAACAUCUCUGGUGUUAGAGGAGUGAGAGAUAUAGUCAUUAUAAGGACUGUGGAAUUGGGUGGCUGUCACUGAAUACCAUGAAAGUUUCCAAGAGAAAAAAAAAUGACAGCCUCAGGGCAAUUACUGAACAAUUUGGAGCAAAUGUGUCCAAGAGCCCCCUUGGCAGUAUUUAUAGAAACUCCAAUCUUCUUGAGCAUGAAAACAGAACUGAAGAACAGACACAGAAUUUAAUUGUAAGAGUGACUGAACUUCAAAGAAGUUCUUAGAUUCUUAACCUAGGUAUAUCUCCUCCAUCAAAGUGAAGGAUCUUGUGGGAAGAAGUGGGACUCUGUGACUUGGGGUAAAGAUACCUAGAAAUAUGUAUUUGAGCUCUUUCAACCCUAAGAUCCCUCUGAGAUCACUGGCCCUCCAGAAGUUUCCCCCUGCUCUUGUUUGAAGAUAGAGCCCCUUCCCUUGCUUGAAGAAUGAGCAAAGCCUCUAAUGAGUGCCUCCACUGGCCAAUGAGAAACUAGAGGGCAAGACAACUCACGGAUGGGUCCAGAGGUGCACAUGAAAGAUGCUCGGCAUAAUGGCUGAGUACAAAUGAAGACAUACAAACAGAAAAAUAAAUCAAGGCUACGAACACCACAAGGAAAAUGACCAUGCCUGACUCAUUCACUAUUAUAUCCCUAUGGGGCCUGGCACAUAAUAAGUGUUCAACUGUGAGCUCUCUGAAAGCACAGGCUGUUUAUUUUGUUCUCUGCUAAAUCCCGGGUAUCCUUGACACCUAGAAGAGGCUCAUAGAUCCUGAGCCCAGAAGAUAGAGAUUUUGUCUUCUGUGACCUUCUUCCAGAUUCCAGCACCUCCUUGAAUGGCUCACAGGGCUGUCAGCAAGUUAAGAGCAAAAAUGACAAAGAGCCAAACUUGCUCAUUAAAAUUCCUAAAUCUCCUACAAAUGUCUUCUGAUGUCAAGCCCAUAAGGUCCCCUCACACCUCUGUGCCCAAAGCUUCUCUUAGUCCUCAGUUAAUUCCUCUAUUUCUUUGUUAACAAUGCCAUCACCACCCACUUAGCUGGCCACCUGAAUCAUGUAACUCCCUCUUUUGUCAAGGGGAGACGAGCCCUUAAAAUUAUUCAUAAAUAAUUUCCAUGGGUUUUAAGCCUACAUUCACCGUUUCAGGCUUGAGUGCAUCUAUUGCCUGUGGGCCCACCUUCAUUGAGUAGAAUGGUAGACUCACUGUGGCAUUUAAAUUACUUUUCUCUUUUUGUAAUUGUGCACCAUUAGAAAUGGGCAUA